rnacentral:rRNA from 1 species
GUGGGGAAUCUUCCGCAAUGGACGAAAGUCUGACGGAGCAACGCCGCGUGAGUGAAGAAGGUUUUCGGAUCGUAAAGCUCUUUCGUUAGGGACGAACGUGCUCUUUGUGAAUAAUGAGGAGUAAUGACGGUACCUAAAUAAGAAGCCACGGCUAACUACGUGCCAGCAGCCGCGGUAAUACGUAGGUGGCAAGCGUUGUCCGGAAUUAUUGGGCGUAAAGCGCGCGCAGGCGGGAUAUCAAGUCUGUCUUAAAAGUGCGAGGCUCAACCUCGUGAGGGGACAGAAACUGGUAUUCUUGAGUGUCAGAGAGGAAAGUGGAAUUCCAAGUGUAGCGGUGAAAUGCGUAGAGAUUUGGAAGAACACCAGUGGCGAAGGCGACUUUCUGGACGAUGUCUGACGCUGAGGCGCGAAAGCUAGGGGAGCGAACGGGAUUAGAAACCCGGGUAGUCC